rnacentral:misc_RNA from 1 species
CUCCCUAACAAUUUAAUAAUAAAUCUGAAAUUUCAAGUCAAAAAUCUUGAUUUUUAGCUCAAAUAACCAUUCGUCAACACCAUACUUAGGUCAAAUCCUAAAAGAAGCUUCUCAUGGCCAGUUGUUGAAAGGUGAAAGUGACGCUUACCGUGAUAGAUACGAUACCAUGUAUCUGAAAAGUUUUAUACUAGAGAGAAAAAGCUUCA